GACGAAGGAUGCAAGCGUUAUCCGGAUUCAUUGGGUUUAAAGGGAGCGUAGGUGGUCUUAUAAGUCAGUGGUGAAAUCUCGCAGCUUAACUGCGAAACUGCCAUUGAUACUGUAGGACUUGAGUAUAGUUGCUGUGGGCGGAAUAUGACAUGUAGUGGUGAAAUACUUAGAGAUGUCAUAGAACACCGAUUGCGAAGGACAGCUCACAAAACUAUAACUGACACUGAGGCUCGAAAGUGCGGGGAUCAAACAGG
rnacentral:rRNA from 1 species